GGGGGACUAGUGUAUCGGUAACACGGUGGUCUCCAAAACCGCAACGCCAGGUUCGAUUCCUGGGUCCCCCG
rnacentral:tRNA from 1 species